UCAUCUCCGGGGGUAGAGCACUGUUUCGGCUAGGGGGCCAUCCCGGCUUACCAACCCGAUGCAAACUGCGAAUACCGGAGAAUGUUAUCACGGGAGACACACGGCGGGUGCUAACGUCCGUCGUGAAGAGGGAAACAACCCAGACCGCCAGCUAAGGUCCCAAAGUCAUGGUUAAGUGGGAAACGAUGUGGGAAGGCCCAGACAGCCAGGAUGUUGGCUUAGAAGCAGCCAUCAUUUAAAGAAAGCGUAAUAGCUCACUGGUCGAGUCGGCCUGCGCGGAAGAUGUAACGGGGCUAAACCAUGCACCGAAGCUGCGGCAGCGAACGUAUCACUUAAAACGAUUCAGAAGCUUACGAUUGACGGAGCGAAGCGACGUCAAAGCGUAUACAAAGUCGAGUCGGUUUAAGGAUACGUUCGUUGGGUAGGGGAGCGUUCUGUAAGCCGUUGAAGGUGUGUCGUGAGGCAUGCUGGAGGUAUCAGAAGUGCGAAUGCUGACAUAAGUAACGAUAAAGCGGGUGAAAAGCCCGCUCGCCGGAAGACCAAGGGUUCCUGUCCAACGUUAAUCGGGGCAGGGUGAGUCGACCCCUAAGGCGAGGCCGAAAGGCGUAGUCGAUGGGAAACGGGUUAAUAUUCCCGUACUUGGUGUUACUGCGAAGGGGGGACGGAGAAGGCUAUGUUGGCCGGGCGACGGUAGUCCCGGUUUAAGCGUGUAGGCUGGUUUUCCAGGCAAAUCCGGAAAAUCAAGGCUGAGGCGUGAUGACGAGGCACCACGGUGCUGAAGCAACAAAUGCCCUGCUUCCAGGAAAAGCCUCUAAGCAUCAGGUAACAUCAAAUCGUACCCCAAACCGACACAGGUGGUCAGGUAGAGAAUACCAAGGCGCUUGAGAGAACUCGGGUGAAGGAACUAGGCAAAAUGGUGCCGUAACUUCGGGAGAAGGCACGCUGACACGUAGGUGAAGUGAUUUACUCACGGAGCUGAAGUCAGUCGAAGAUACCAGCUGGCUGCAACUGUUUAUUAAAAACACAGCACUGUGCAAACACGAAAGUGGACGUAUACGGUGUGACGCCUGCCCGGUGCCGGAAGGUUAAUUGAUGGGGUCAGCGCAAGCGAAGCUCCUGAUCGAAGCCCCGGUAAACGGCGGCCGUAACUAUAACGGUCCUAAGGUAGCGAAAUUCCUUGUCGGGUAAGUUCCGACCUGCACGAAUGGCGUAAUGAUGGCCAGGCUGUCUCCACCCGAGACUCAGUGAAAUUGAACUCGCUGUGAAGAUGCAGUGUACCCGCGGCAAGACGGAAAGACCCCGUGAACCUUUACUAUAGCUUGACACUGAACAUUGAGCCUUGAUGUGUAGGAUAGGUGGGAGGCUUUGAAGCGUGGACGCCAGUCUGCGUGGAGCCGACCUUGAAAUACCACCCUUUAAUGUUUGAUGUUCUAACGUGGACCCGUAAUCCGGGUUGCGGACAGUGUCUGGUGGGUAGUUUGACUGGGGCGGUCUCCUCCUAAAGAGUAACGGAGGAGCACGAAGGUUGGCUAAUCCUGGUCGGACAUCAGGAGGUUAGUGCAAUGGCAUAAGCCAGCUUGACUGCGAGCGUGACGGCGCGAGCAGGUGCGAAAGCAGGUCAUAGUGAUCCGGUGGUUCUGAAUGGAAGGGCCAUCGCUCAACGGAUAAAAGGUACUCCGGGGAUAACAGGCUGAUACCGCCCAAGAGUUCAUAUCGACGGCGGUGUUUGGCACCUCGAUGUCGGCUCAUCACAUCCUGGGGCUGAAGUAGGUCCCAAGGGUAUGGCUGUUCGCCAUUUAAAGUGGUACGCGAGCUGGGUUUAGAACGUCGUGAGACAGUUCGGUCCCUA
rnacentral:rRNA from 1 species